rnacentral:misc_RNA from 1 species
GAAAUGCGAUAAGUAGUGUGAAUUGCAGAAUUCAGUGAAUCAUCGAAUCUAUGAACGCACAUUGCGCCCUUUGGUAUUCCAAAGGGCAUGCCUGUUCGAGCGUCAUUUGUACCCUCAAGCUUUGCUUGGUGUUGGGCGUCUUGUCUCUAGCUUUGCUGGAGACUCGCCUUAAAGUAAUUGGCAGCCGGCCUACUGGUUUCGGAGCGCAGCACAAGUCGCACUCUCUAUCAGCAAAGGUCUAGCAUCCAUUAAGCCUUUUUUCAACUUUUGACCUCGGAUCAGGUAGGGAUACCCGCUGAACUUAAGC